GCCUGGUUGGCCCAGUUGGUUGGGCGACUGCCUUCAGCUCAGGUCAUGAUCCUGGAGUCCUGGGAUCGAGUCCCGCAUCAGGCU
rnacentral:tRNA from 1 species